AUACGGAGGGGGCUAGCGUUGUUCGGAAUUACUGGGCGUAAAGCGCGCGUAGGCGGAUCGUUAAGUCAGGGGUGAAAGCCCGGAGCUCAACUCCGGAACUGCCCUUGAUACUUGCGAUCUCGAGUCCGGGAGAGGUGAGCGGAAUUCCUAGUGUAGAGGUGAAAUUCGUAGAUAUUAGGAGGAACACCAGUGGCGAAGGCGGCUCACUGGCCCGGUACUGACGCUGAGGUGCGAAAGCGUGGGGAGCAAACAGGAUUAGAUACCCUAGUAGUCC
rnacentral:rRNA from 1 species